UACGCUGGCCCAUUGUCCGUUUUUAGGAU
rnacentral:piRNA from 1 species